ACGAAGGGAGCCAGAAGGCCCAGCGAGCUUGAAGUAACUCACGAUCGCAACAUAGAAGCAGUGAUGGCAAAGGCAAGCGCUGGACGAGAAGUACGUACGAAUCCGAUUUACUCAUGAGCUAUUCAUAAUUGUCUUCAGAUAAUACGAAAGGGAAUGCUCUUCGUAUCGCAAUCGUUACCGAACGAUAAGUAACAGAGGCUGCGUGCGGUCGUCGAUUGAAAGAGCUUGUCAGCGAUCCCUAUACGACGCUACCGGUACAUGAAUUCGUUUAUACUGAUUCCGUAAGGUGGCGCAACUGUGACCAACCCGCUCGUUACGUGGAAUAAUGUCUUGACUACAACUAACACGGUCUUCAAUUUGAUCUAACUGCCCUAAAAGCUACUUUCGAUAUUAUUAAAUGGCUACAAAGAUAAAUAGAAAUUUAAGCCAGAUGAUGACUUCGUUUCGAAAGAUAGGUGAUCCAGAAGUUUUUUGUAAUUAAACAAAAUGAGACUGAUAACAAGUCGAGAGGCGCUGAGAUCUAAAGCUUAAUAAACUCUGCAGAAAAUCAGCAUUGGGCUUUUUCUAAUGGACUUGCCUUUGGUCGCCAAGCUAUUCCAGCCCUGUAACAGCAUAAUUCAUUCACAAGACGAUCUAUUUAAGAAGCCACAUCUAUAUAACGUCGUAGCAAAUAUGUUUCUGAAACGUUGUUUAGAUUUCAAUGUUUCUUGUAAUGUUUUUAGAGAAUGAAAACCGCAACUGAGAAAAAUGACCGCAUUAUCCUAUUCCCAGUUCAGCUCUUUAUAAAACUACAUAUAUACGAGGUAUAAAUGGGAGAUGCUAAUGGCUAUAUCACGCCAUCUAAGUGCUUGGGCAUUCUAAAACGAUCGAAACGGACGAAAAAAAUCAAUCGUUGUAUUUUUUCCCUUUUCUGUAUCCACAACAGUCGUGUUGGCCGUUUACAACGUAACAGGACAAUCCUCCAAUGAUGUAAAUAAAGGUAAUUUAACUUGUAAAUAAACUUUUAGUUGUAAAGAAAAUGAGGAAUAAUUUAUUACCUCCUACUGUGUUUAAGUUAUUGCAAAGCAUGG